UUAAGAAAUUAAAACAAAAGGAUCAUUUAUUGUUUUUAAUAUGUAGUCAAAUAUGACAGCAGUGUUACACAAAUUGCUCCCUUCGCCCCCUUCGAGAAAUCCCAAAUGUGUUGACUCCAAUCGAAAGUGAGAAAAACAUGAUUUAAUUCUGAAAAUAGCAAUUGACAGAGAGAACACACAUAGCAUUUGGUCACCACCAGCUUCCAGACCCUAAAAGAUGAAUCGUGUCACUGUGGCAGUCGAUACACUGGCUUUCUUACAAAAUCAUCACUAGGAAAAAAACAAAAAGCAGAACACACGCUUUCCCACAUACUCUAAGCAGAACCCGAAGAAAUGCAGAAAAACUUGGUUGAAGAAGCUGUGUGAGGACAUCUCUAAUGAAUUAUUGCAAUCCUAAGGUUCCCCAGGUAAACGAUAGAUGGCAAAUUGAUGGACUAUAAGGAAAUACAUUCAAACUUAGGUAAUUAAUCUUACAGUGAAAAUCAAAGAGAAGCCUGUGGAAGUCAUGCAGCAUCUGCAUGACUGAAUUUAAACAGAGGCGUCCCAUAAAGGACUUUGCUAUCAGACACCAUUAGUGCAAAGUCAGAUACAAUCAUUUUUACAUUUGCAGGUUCAGGUAUGUCAAGCAUGAGGUCAUCAGGAAGUAGGUGGACAUUAUCUUACCGUGAAAAAAAUAAAAUAAAUGCGGUCUCCAGUGUUUCAUGGACAUGACCAAGGAAAUAGAAAUGAGACCGGAGGACUGGGGUCAAUUCAACGUGCGCAGUUUUCCAGGUAUUAAACCAAGUUUUGGAAAACCUCCGCCAAAUUAACUUUCACCUGACAGACACGUCCUCGAUGUGAAGUCCAAGGCUGUGGAAAACAGAAGCGAACUGGCAGCGGGCCGGGCUCACCCAGUCUUUCCUUUGGUUGGUUGCUGACCGGGUUUAGAGGGUCAGAUUCCCCCCCGCCCCCGGUGUCCUCUUUCAGCAGCUCCACAGUGAGCUUUGUGAUGCUGACAAAGGGUGCAGUUAUACCCACUUGGAAAUUCAUUGACAAAUAUUCUGUGCACUGGUGCAACUGGCAUAACACACAGACAGCCCCUGGGUGCCCGGCUUCUCCUCCUUUCACCCUUCAGCGUUUCAAAUGACUAUGAGCAGAAUUACCAGAAACAGUAGUACAUUCCUGGCACUGGAAGUUCCCAUGAUCCCAGCUGGCAUGCAGAAAAAGGCUGUCUCUUUUUUCCCCCCCGGAAAAUAAUGUACUUCCCAGCCACCGUCCAAAUGCCUCAAAUGAGGCAAAUGAGAGAUUUGUUUUGACCAACCAAUGAAAGGACUUUCCCCUUCUCAGCUAGGGACCUGAGAUUUUGUUGUAAUAAACACAAAAUAUGUAUGUCUAGAGAAACUUAAUUCGUUUCCCUAAAAUGAUUUUAACAGUUUUUGGUGGCUGACUUUGCCUGAUGGUAUUUUCAGAGUAGCCUAGUGGAAGACACCUAAUUUGAGGUUUUAUUUCCCUACUAAAAAUAUGACCCUCGGAAUAUAUUUUUGUUCGAUUACUUUUUAAAAUGUUUGCUCAGACAGGACCACGAUGUCUAGACAAUAAUAUGGAGUCUAGGUCCCAAGGUGGUCAAACUUCACAGAGAGCCAGCUCAGGGUGAGCAGAUGAAAGUACUUUCUCUUAGCCUUUCCUCAGGAAAAUGAUUUUUAUUUUUAUUGUACUUUAUUGCCUGUGUGGGGCUGUCUCAUGGUCUCUGGCAUAAGGGAACCAAAGAACACAGUCAUGCUUUGCAGGUCAGAGGGUGAUAAAUGAAAAGUCUCUCUUUGGUCCUUACGUGCCCAGAAGUAGCCCAAUUCCCUGCAGCAAAAGCCUUAAUGAGUUCAGGAUUGGUGCCCUAGAAGAGGUUCAGGGGGGAGAUGGCUGGGUUUUAGAUUAAAUGGGAACAUCCUUCACUGCCUGUAUGUCAUAUGCUUCUUAGCAUAACUGGCAGGAUCUGUGCCCCAGUGUCUCCAAGUCUGGAUGACUUAAAUUUGAGCUGAUCUUCAUUGAAUAUUUAUUUGCACAGUGCUCUGAAGAAGCUGAAAAUCCUGCUUGAUGGCAUAUUUUGAUCUUUAUUUUUUCCCAUGAAUCAUCCUCACCCACCCAUCCCUAUACUUCUUCCCACAUAGCAAAUGGUCUAAAAUUAGUUUCAUGCUAUGAAUCUCGUUGAUAGGCACAAAAGGUUUAUAGCUGCGUGAUUAACAAGUGAUAUAUUGGUCAUGAAAACACAUAUUUCUGCAAUGCUAGGGAAGAGAGAACCUGUUUUUUUUUUUUUUUUUUUUAAAUCAACACUCCAGUGGUAAUGAGAGAAAUCACUGAGGUUUUUCAACUGGAAUCAAAAUGAAUAUAUCACCAUCUGCCAAGUCAAAUUUUUUUUACUUUAUUAAGAGACACAUUUUUUUCUUAGUAAUUCUCAAAUGAUAAUAAAUCCUAUAGAAAUUAGAAAAAGAUGAGCACCAGCAUAUGAUUUGCAUAAAUUUUUUUCCAGCGUUUUAUUCUGGAUUUAAAGUAACUGUGAUUCUUUCAGUAUGGACAGUGAUCUGGAAAUUAACAAGAAGUUACAUUGAAAAGCCAGUGAUGCUCUCUUCCAUAAAUUUGUUUGGAGAACUGAUUCAGGAAAGUUGACGAUUUUACUUGAACAAUUAUCAUCUUGCUCCUCUGCGAUAACUGUUGUGAGAGCAGUGGGCACUUUUAAAAGGUAUGCCGGGCAAUAAUUAGGCAGAUGUGUUGCAAUUUAAGUUGAAAUUAGAAGAUCAACCUAAUAAAAACCUUUCAUAUCACUAUAUUGUCUAUGACAGUAGUAGAGAAGGAAUAUAUAUAUACACACACUAAGGGACCUCCUGGGUUGGAGUUUUCUGAUUUCCAAGAUAGUCCUUAGAGAGGCCACUCUGGAUAUGCUUGUCAAUAUAUUCUAUCGCCUUAGACUUUGUAAUCAAAGCUUUCAAUUGUGUGUCCAUAUUAGCAACUUGUAUUAAAUAAUUAAGAAUGUUUCCAAAGUCUGCGUUGGUCUUUCAGCAAAGGCAUGGAGGGAGACCUGAUAUUCUAGUUGGGGUUUGUUGUUAUUUCUAGGCGUAUUCAUAACAGAUUGUCUUUUAUAACUUCUCCAACUUUUCCAAUUGGUGCAGAAUAGACACAAGUACAAAACAUAGGGUUAUUUAUAGGGAAUCACUGACCCUACAGGAAAACCAACAUAAGGCACAUCAAAUCAGCAGAAACUUUGGCUUGGCAGUUUUAGAUAUUUCAACUCAGACAUUUCCAACUUUCAACUACUUGGCACAGUUAAAUUUCUUUUUUUUUCCCAAAGAGGGACAAUUAAAAAAAAAAAAAUCAGUAUCAGAAAUAGAAAGCU
rnacentral:lncRNA from 1 species